CCCGCUGCAGCCGCGGCCGGGCCGGCCGUCACGGGCUGGGGGUGCUGAGCAGCUGCAGGUGGCGGCGCCGCGUUCUGUUUACAUCGGGCGGAAAAUUUAGCUUUUGUUCUUCAUUGUGAGACUGAGAGCUUCACACAAAAAGAUUAAGAGAUCUGAAUGAAUCAUUGGAUUGGAAAGAAGAAUUUCCUGCUGGAGAGAGAGGGGGGAAAGAAGGGUAUCAGUCUCUUCUUACAAAGGACCAAAUUCAUCACUAGUACAACAUUCUGAUUUCCUUGGAAGUCACUGUUCCUGCCACUGUUCCAUGGCCUGGGAGUGUUUGGAGAACACAGAAGGGAAACUUGCGAUGGCCCUCUAGACAAUGCAAUCAUGCACGGUUUCAGCAAAGGCAGUAAGUGCCAAUACUGUGAUGAGAUGUUCACUGCUCUUUCCUGUUGGCUGCCACAAUGGUACAAACCACCAAGCUGGCUUUAGUUUAAGGGAGGAAGCCAAGGAAAUAAUAGCUAAGUGUAGUACUGUAGGUAUUAUUAUUAACUACAGUCAUAUUACUUACAAAUAUACACAUAUAACCUCCAUAUCAUUAUUUUAAAUUAUUUUUAAAUUUUAGACUUUUAUUAAUAUCAUUAUGGAUUUUUUUAAAAUACAAAAAUAUACAUUUGAAAAACUACCACUCAUCCUUCCUUUUUUUUUUCAACCCCUGCCAUGGUACAAGACCAAUCACAGGCAGUGACAGAAGUCAUAACGUAACAACCCAGUAUAUAUGAGGUUGGUCAAGUUCAGCCUGAGGUACACAUUUUUUACUAACAUUUGCUGUAUUUCCCUUUUCAUUAUACCUGAUUCCAUCUUUAGUUUUGAUCAUUUAAUUCAGACUAGUUAUGGUACAGGUGCUUGUCCUGAUUUACCUCUUACACCACCUCUGAUUUCAGCCUCACCUCUGAUUUCUGUAUAUAUUUCUUUCAGCAGCUGGAAUUAAGCAGGAUCUAACCAGAGUUUUGUCUUCCUUCACCCUCCUGUGUUCUCAGCAGUCACCGGCAGCAGCCCUUGGAUUCCUGUUCAGUUGGGUUGUGUGCAAUGUUGCAGAAAUCAUAAAGGAGAUUCUUUUAGAAAUACAGAAAUCAAAACUGCCGGGAAAAAGGAGCCAGACAGCGCCUUUCAGAAAAAAACAGUACAAGCAGAGGGAUUCCAAAUAGGCAAAGGAUAUCUUUAAAUAUUGGGAAUUGCUUAUUAAGCACAUGAAGCUGUAGAGGCCGUACAGUCCUAGGCAAUGACAGCACAAUAGCAUGGAUAUCCUGAAGUAGGCCUGACAGUCCUACUGAUCUAAAGAUUAUGUUAUUAUGUUCCUCUACUAUAAUACAUUCAUUUUUGCAUGUAAAAAUCUUUUUUUUUCCUAGUGAGAUAUGUUAAAUAAAGUUCUUACAUGUUUUUGACUGCA